rnacentral:rRNA from 1 species
AAUGAACGUUGGCGGCAUGGAUUAGGCAUGCAAGUCGCGCGAUAAGAUUCCUUCGGGAACCCGAAAGCGGCGAAAGGGAGAGUAACGCGUAGAUGAUCUACCCCGAGGACUGGGAUAGCGGCGGGAAACUGCCGGUAAUACCAGAUGAUGUCUCCGGACCAAAGGUGUGAUUCCGCCUUGGGAUGAAUCUGCGUCCUAUUAGCUAGUUGGUGAGGUAACGGCUCACCAAGGCGAAGAUGGGUACCGGGUGUGAGAGCAUGACCCGGCUCACUGGGACUGAGACACUGCCCAGACACCUACGGGUGGCUGCAGUCGAGAAUCUUCGGCAAUGGGCGAAAGCCUGACCGAGCAAUGCCGCGUGCGGGAUGAAGGCCUUGGUUGUAA